CUACUAAAUUGUAAUCGUAUGAUUCAAGAAAGUGAAAUAAAAUAUAACAAUGAUAUUAUUUUUGCCAUUACUUUGUUGUUGACAAAUCAAACUCAAAAAAGAUAUUAUUCUAAAAAAAAGUUUUGGGUUGCACCGCUGUUUCAAAAUCGUAACGAGCACGGCUUUUAUAAAGCUACCUUACCAUAUAUAAGAUUAGAAAGUGCAAUUUUAUUAAUUAUUUUCGCAUGUCAUCAACACAAUUGGAAGAUUUGUUACAAAUUGUUGCACUAAAACUCCAGAAGCAGACAUUUAUGAGAGAGCCUGUCAGUGCUGAAGAACGUUUGUGUUUAACUUUAAGAUAUUUGGCUUCUGGCGACUCAAUGAUAUCGAUGUCAUAUCAAUAUUUAUUAGGAUAUACAACAAUAUGCAACAUCAUAUCUGAAACGUGUGAAAUACUUUAGAAUAUGUUGUGUCCAGUUGUUCUUCCACCUUCUUUGACCAAAGAAGAUUGACUUCGUAUUGCAGCAGAUUUCGAACAUCGAUGCAAUUUUCCGCAUUGUAUUGGUGCCCUUGACGGAAAACAUAUUGUUCUUCAAUGUCCUGCUAAUGCUGGUUCUAUGUAUUAUAAUUACAAAAACAGUUACAGUAUUAUUUUAAUGACAAUAUGUGAUGCUAAUUAUUUAUUUACAUUUAUCGACAUAGGAGCCUAUGGUAGACGCAGUGAUGGUGGCAUUUUCAAAGAAUGCCAGUUUGGUAAAAAAUUCGAACAAAAGAAGAUGGAUGUACCAGAUGCGGAUAUUAUUUCUG